UACGUAGGGUGCAAGCGUUGUCCGGAAUUAUUGGGCGUAAAGAGCUCGUAGGCGGUUUUGUUGCGUCGGCUGUGAAAUCCCGAGGCUCAACCUCGGGUCUGCAGUCGAUACGAGCAAACUAGAGUGUUGCAGGGGAGACUGGAAUUCCUGGUGUAGCGGUGAAAUGCGUAGAUAUCUGGAGGAACACCGGUGGCGAAAGGCGGCAUCCUGGACCGGUAUUGACGCUGAGGAGCGAAAGCGUGGGUAGCAAACAGG
rnacentral:rRNA from 1 species